GACGAACCGUGCAAACGUUGUUCGGAAUCACUGGGCUUAAAGGGCGCGUAGGCGGGUGGCCAAGUCUGGGGUGAAAUCUUUCGGCUUAACCGGAAAAUAGCCUUGGAUACUGGCUGUCUUGAGGGAGGUAGGGGCAUGUGGAACUUCCAGUGGAGCGGUGAAAUGCGUUGAUAUUGGAAGGAACGCCGGUGGCGAAAGCGGCUCACUGGAUCUCUUCUGACGCUGAGGCACGAAAGCUAGGGUAGCGAACGGG
rnacentral:rRNA from 1 species